rnacentral:lncRNA from 1 species
GUCUGAUGUUGGUGUCGAUGCAAGCCAAGGGCCAAGAAGGGUUUCUCAUGAUGAUGAAAUGUUGAAGAAUUGAAGCAAAAUCCAGCCUUAAUUCUCUUGCAUGUGUAGAGAUUCUACAUCAAAAAGCUAUAUGAAACAUGUGGAACGUGUCAAGGAGAGCUCAAGCAUAGGAGGAUAACGGGUCAAGAUAAGGCAAGGUGACAAAUACACUUAUUGGAGUACUCAAGGUUAUGAAUGUCGGACUUUCGAAGUGUUGAUAUAAUAAUGAAACGGUUGAAUGUUGAAAGGAUAAUCGGAUUGAAGUAACUUAUGCGGUAAAUCCUCAAUUCAGGCGACUUGGAGAAUCGGAGCGAGCGCGUGUUCAUGUUAUGUCAUACCAAACGCUUCCGCUAGCCUGUUCAAAUGUUUUUAGUCCAAAAUUUGUUGUUUUGGUUCUUAGUAGUAUUUUGUCGAAUGAAUCGUAGAAUUGUAUCUAGUUUGUUUAUGUUUAAAACAGGGGUAUGCUCGUUUUAUGGACGGGUCAUGCCCGUUUUUUGUUAAAUUAAAGUAUGAUAAUAUCACAUUUAGGAAGAUGAAAUUUUGG